GGAUAACCUGCCCUAAGGAAGGGGAUAACCUCGGGAAACUGAGGAUAAUACCCUAUAGGAUACCGAUGCUGGAAUGCCCGGUAUCCCAAAGCUCCGGCGCCUUAGGAUGGAUCUGCGGCCGAUUAGGUCGUUGUUGGGGUAACGGCCCAACAAGCCGAUAAUCGGUACGGGUUGUGGGAGCAAGAGCCCGGAGUUGGAUUCUGAGACACGAAUCCAGGCCCUACGGGGCGCAGCAGGCGCGAAAACUUUACAAUGCGGGCAACCGUGAUAAGGGAACCUCGAGUGCCUGUACAUGCAGGCUGUCUGGGUGUCUAAAACACACCCAAAGAAAGGGCCGGGCAAGACCGGUGCCAGCCGCCGCGGUAAUACCGGCGGCUCGAGUGGUGGCCACUUUUAUUGGGCUUAAAGCGUUCGUAGCUGGGUUGUUAAGUCUCUUGGGAAAUCUGGCAGCUUAACUGUCAGGCGUCUAAGAGAUACUGGCAAUCUAGGAACCGGGAGAGGUGAGGGGUACCUCGGGGGUAGGAGUGAAAUCCUGUAAUCCUCGAGGGACCACCUGUGGCGAAGGCGCCUCACCAGAACGGCUUCGACAGUGAGGGACGAAAGCUGGGGGAGCAAACCGGAUUAGAUACCCGGGUAGUCCCAGCCGUAAACGAUGCGCGUUAGGUGUGUCGAUGACCACGAGUCAUCGAGGUGCCGAAGGGAAACCGUGAAACGCGCCGCCUGGGAAGUACGGUCGCAAGGCUGAAACU
rnacentral:rRNA from 1 species